GAGUUUGAUCGGGCUCAGAUUGAACGCUGGCGGCAGGCCUAACACAUGCAAGUCGAGCGGUAGAGAGAAGCUUGCUUCUCUUGAGAGCGGCGGACGGGUGAGUAAUGCCUAGGAAUCUGCCCUGGUAGUGGGGGGAUAACGCGUCGGAAACGGACGCUAAUACCGCAUACGUCCUACGGGAGAAGCAGGGACCUUCGGGCCUUGCGCUAUCAGAUGAGCCUAGGUCGGAUUAGCUAGUUGGUGAGGUAAUGGCUCACCAAGGCGACGAUCCGUAACUGGUCUGAGAGGAUGAUCAGUCACACUGGAACUGAGACACGGUCCAGACUCCUACGGGAGGCGAGCAGUGGGGAAUAGUUGGACAAUGGGCGAAAGCCUGAUCCAGCCAUGCCGCGUGUGUGAAGAAGGUCUUCGGAUUGUAAAGCACUUU
rnacentral:rRNA from 1 species